rnacentral:misc_RNA from 1 species
GAUGAAGAACGUAGCGAAAUGCGAUAAGUAAUGUGAAUUGCAGAAUUCAGUGAAUCAUCGAAUCUUUGAACGCACCUUGCACCCUUUGGUAUUCCGAAGGGUAUGCUCGUUUGAGUGUCAUUGUACUCUCACACUUCUAAUUCCUUUCGGGAUUGGGAGCGGUGGACUUGGGUGUUGCUGCUUUAGUUGUGGCUCACCUCAAAUAAGUUAGUGCAACUCUUGGUUGGACAUAGUACGGCGUGAUAAGUGUCUUCGCCGGCGCCUCUGUAAGGAGGGUGGCCGAUCGGGAGCUCUGUGCUUCAAACCGUCUUCGGACAAUCUUUGACAACUUGACCUCAAAUUGAGUAGGACUACCCGCUGAACUUAAGCAUAUCAAUAAGCGGAGGA